rnacentral:rRNA from 1 species
GAUGAACGCUGGCGGCGUGCCUAAUACAUGCAAGUCGAGCGAACAGACGAGGAGCUUGCUCCUCUGACGUUAGCGGCGGACGGGUGAGUAACACGUGGAUAACCUACCUAUAAGACUGGGAUAAAUUCGGGAAACCGGAGCUAAUACCGGAUAAUAUAUUGAACCGCAUGGUUCAAUAGUGAAAGACGGUUUUGCUGUCACUUAUAGAUGGAUCCGCGCCGCAUUAGCUAGUUGGUAAGGUAACGGCUUACCAAGGCAACGAUGCGUAGCCGACCUGAGAGGGUGAUCGGCCACACUGGAACUGAGACACGGUCCAUACUCCUACGGUAGGCAGCAGUAGGGAAUCUUCCGCAAUGGGCGAAAGCCUGACGGAGCAACGCCGCGUGAGUGAUGAAGGUCUUCGGAUCGUAAAACUCUGUUAUUAGGGAAGAACAAAUGUGUAAGUAACUAUGCACGUCUUGACGGUACCUAAUCAGAAAGCCACGGCUAACUACGUG